CUGUAAGCCUGCGAAGGUGUGCUGUGAGGCAUGCUGGAGGUAUCAGAAGUGCGAAUGCUGACAUAAGUAACGAUAAAGCGGGUGAAAAGCCCGCUCGCCGGAAGACCAAGGGUUCCUGUCCAACGUUAAUCGGGGCAGGGUGAGUCGACCCCUAAGGCGAGGCCGAAAGGCGUAGUCGAUGGGAAACAGGUUAAUAUUCCUGUACUUGGUGUUACUGCGAAGGGGGGACGGAGAAGGCUAUGUUGGCCGGGCGACGGUUGUCCCGGUUUAAGCGUGUAGGCUGGUUUUCCAGGCAAAUCCGGAAAAUCAAGGCUGAGGCGUGAUGACGAGGCACUACGGUGCUGAAGCAACAAAUGCCCUGCUUCCAGGAAAAGCCUCUAAGCAUCAGGUAACAUCAAAUCGUACCCCAAACCGACACAGGUGGUCAGGUAGAGAAUACCAAGGCGCUUGAGAGAACUCGGGUGAAGGAACUAGGCAAAAUGGUGCCGUAACUUCGGGAGAAGGCACGCUGAUAUGUAGGUGAAGCGACUUGCUCGUGGAGCUGAAAUCAGUCGAAGAUACCAGCUGGCUGCAACUGUUUAUUAAAAACACAGCACUGUGCAAACACGAAAGUGGACGUAUACGGUGUGACGCCUGCCCGGUGCCGGAAGGUUAAUUGAUGGGGUCAGCGCAAGCGAAGCUCUUGAUCGAAGCCCCGGUAAACGGCGGCCGUAACUAUAACGGUCCUAAGGUAGCGAAAUUCCUUGUCGGGUAAGUUCCGACCUGCACGAAUGGCGUAAUGAUGGCCAGGCUGUCUCCACCCGAGACUCAGUGAAAUUGAACUCGCUGUGAAGAUGCAGUGUACCCGCGGCAAGACGGAAAGACCCCGUGAACCUUUACUAUAGCUUGACACUGAACAUUGAGCCUUGAUGUGUAGGAUAGGUGGGAGGCUUUGAAGUGUGGACGCCAGUCUGCAUGGAGCCGACCUUGAAAUACCACCCUUUAAUGUUUGAUGUUCUAACGUUGACCCGUAAUCCGGGUUGCGGACAGUGUCUGGUGGGUAGUUUGACUGGGGCGGUCUCCUCCUAAAGAGUAACGGAGGAGCACGAAGGUUGGCUAAUCCUGGUCGGACAUCAGGAGGUUAGUGCAAUGGCAUAAGCCAGCUUGACUGCGAGCGUGACGGCGCGAGCAGGUGCGAAAGCAGGUCAUAGUGAUCCGGUGGUUCUGAAUGGAAGGGCCAUCGCUCAACGGAUAAAAGGUACUCCGGGGAUAACAGGCUGAUACCGCCCAAGAGUUCAUAUCGACGGCGGUGUUUGGCACCUCGAUGUCGGCUCAUCACAUCCUGGGGCUGAAGUAGGUCCCAAGGGUAUGGCUGUUCGCCAUUUAAAGUGGUACGCGAGCUGGGUUUAGAACGUCGUGAGACAGUUCGGUCCCUAUCUGCCGUGGGCGCUGGAGAACUGAGGGGGGCUGCUCCUAGUACGAGAGGACCGGAGUGGACGCAUCACUGGUGUUCGGGUUGUCAUGCCAAUGGCACUGCCCGGUAGCUAAAUGCGGAAGAGAUAAGUGCUGAAAGCAUCUAAGCACGAAACUUGCCCCGAGAUGAGUUCUCCCUGACUCCUUGAGAGUCCUGAAGGAACGUUGAAGACGACGACGUUGAUAGGCCGGGUGUGUAAGCGCAGCGAUGCGUUGAGCUAACCGGUACUAAUGAACCGUGAG
rnacentral:rRNA from 1 species